rnacentral:rRNA from 1 species
CCCUUAGAUGUCCUGGGCCGCACGCGCGCUACACUGACAUGUUCAACAAGCCUCCUAGUUCGACAGGAUUUGGGGAAUCUUUGAACGCAUGUCGUGAUAGGGAUAGAUCAUUGCAAUUAUUGAUCUUGAACGAGGAAUUCCUAGUAAACGCGAGUCAUCAGCUCGCAUUGAUUACGUCCCUGCCCUUUGUACACACCGCCCGUCGCACCUACCGAUUGAAUGUUUCGGUGAAGAUUCCGGAUAGGACUUUUUUGAUUUAUUUCAAUUUUGUCUUAAAAGCUAUCUAAACCUCAACAUUUAGAGGAAGGUGAAGUCGUAACA